GCAGCCGCACAGCAGAUCUGAGGAGCCGGAGGAAGUUGGAGAGGAGCCGCUGCUGCUGUCAAGAUGGAGCCGACAACAACUAUUCCCUGAGAGAGCGAAAGAGUGUUCUUGAGUUCCAGAC